UGGUUCCGGCAACGAUGAAGAACGCAGCGAACUGCGAUAAGUAAUGCGAAUCGCAGUACCUAGUGAGUCAUCGAAUCUUUGAACGCACAUUGCGCCCGCUAGUAUUCUGGCGGGCAUGCCUGUCCGAGCGUCAUAUCAAACCUUCAGGUGAAAAUACUCUAUUACCUGGUGUUGGGAGUCCCCUUCGCAGUCUUGUGAAAGGGUUGCCCGAAAACUAGUGGCGGAACUGCCGCGCAAUCAGGAUGUCGUCAUGUCUUCACCUGAAAAAACAACGCAGAGUCUAGCCGUAAAACGAGAAAAGGCAACUUUUCUCUCUUUUUCUAGUUGACCUCGGAUCAGGUAGGACUACCCGCUGA
rnacentral:misc_RNA from 1 species